rnacentral:rRNA from 1 species
GGAAUAUUGGGCAAUGGAGGAAACUCUGACCCAGCAACGCCGCGUGAAUGAUGAAGGUCUUCGGAUUGUAAAGUUCUUUUCUAAGGGAAGAAGAAAGUGACGGUACCUUAGGAAUAAGCCUCGGCUAACUACGUGCCAGCAGCCGCGGUAAUACGGAGGAUGCGAGCGUUAUCCGGAUUUAUUGGGUUUAAAGGGUGCGUAGGCGGGCUGUUAAGUCAGCGGUCAAAUGUCGGGGCUCAACCCCGGCCUGCCGUUGAAACUGGCGGCCUCGAGUGGGCGAGAAGUAUGCGGAAUGCGUGGUGUAGCGGUGAAAUGCAUAGAUAUCACGCAGAACUCCGAUUGCGAAGGCAGCAUACCGGCGCCCUACUGACGCUGAGGCACGAAAGCGUGGGUAUCGAACAG